ensembl:snRNA U6 U6 spliceosomal RNA
GUACUUGCUUCAGCAGCACAUGUACUGACAUUGGCAUGAUGCAGACAAGGUUAGCAUGGCCCCUAUGUAAGGGUGACACGCAAAUUCGCGGGGCGUUCCAUAUUUUU